AUGUGCCUACGGGGGGCAGCAGUGGGGAAUAUUGCACAAUGGGCGAAAGCCUGAUGCAGCAACGCCGCGUGAAGGAAGAAGUUAUUCGUAAUGUAAAGUUCUUUUAUCAGGGAAGAAAGAGGAAUUUGACGGUACCUGAGGAAUAAGCUCCGGCUAACUACGUGCCAGCAGCCGCGGUAAUACGUAGGGAGCGAGCGUUAUCCGGAAUUAUUGGGCGUAAAGGGUGCGUAGAUGGCAUAGUAAGUCUUUUGUAAAAAUGCUGGGCUCAACCCAGUAGGGCAAAAGAUACUGCAAAGCUAGAGUAU
rnacentral:rRNA from 1 species